UUCCCUCUUUCCCCCUUUCCUCUCUUUCUCCUUUCUUGCCCCCGUUCUCUUUCUUCCCCCUUUCCUUUUUCCCGCCAUGCUCCUGCGGGACCCCCCGGCCACGCCGGUCUUCCCCUGGGAGCGCGGGGUGGUGCUCCUCUCCUGCGCCCUCUCCGUGCUGGGCUGCUGCCUUCUGCUGGGCACCCAGGCCCGCUGGCCCGAGCUCCGGACGCGGCCGCGCCAGCUGCUCUCCUGCCUCUCGGGGGCCGACCUGCUCUCCGCCGCCUCUUACGCCUACGGGGUGCUGAGGGACUUCGAGGCCUCGUCCUGGGACUGCGUGGCGCAGGGCGCCCUCUCCACCUUCGCCAACACCAGCUCCUUCUUCUGGACCACGGCCAUCGCCCUGGACCUCUACUUCGCCAUCGUCCGCGGCUCCACCGGCGCCGGCUUGCUCUGCUUCUUCCACCUGGUGAGCUGGGGGAUUCCCCUUGGCAUCACUGCGGCUGCCGUGGCCUUGAAAAAAAUUGGCUAUGACGCCUCGGACGUCUCGGUCGGCUGGUGCUGGAUCGACAUCAACGCGGAAGAUAGGCUUCUUUGGAUGCUGCUGGCAGGGAAACUGUGGGAAAUCCUCGCUUAUGUGACCUUGCCCUUCGUUUACGUCCUGAUAAAGAAACACAUCAACCGAGCGCACGCAGCCCUCUCUGAGUAUCGGCCCAUUCUGUCCAGGAACCCGUCUUCCCAACCGAGAGCUGCCUCCGUAGCGGACAGGAAGCUGACCUUAAUCCCGAUUAUUUUCAUCUUCCUGCGUAUCUGGAGUACCGUUCGUUUUGUCCUGACCCUUUCUGGCUCCCCUGCAGACCGAAAUUGGCUCCUGGUCAUACUUCACGGAGUUGGGAACACGUUUCAAGGAGCCGCAAACUGCAUCCUUUUCGUCUUUUGCACACGAGUCGUCCGGAAUAAGCUGUUUUCUUCCUUGUGCUGCUGGAGACACUCGGAGGCUCCCCCGCCGAGUUUGGAGACCAGCUUCCAGGCUGAGCCCCCGCUUCGCAAAGACUGGGAGCUGCUGCAAGGCAGUGAUAGCACAGGGGAAGACUCACCCAUCCCCUGAACGUUGGCCUGCAUCGUGAUGGAAAUCACCUUUUUUGCCUGGUGGGGUUUUCACUGUAACAAAGAUGCCGAGUGCCUCUCACGAGUGAUAUUCAUUCACCUGAGAAAGAAGAGGGAAAAAACCCAUAGACUUUUGGACUUUUUUUUUUAACAGAAAAAGAAAAACCAUUAAGAUUUUCACCAUAAAACGGCUGGAUUGGAUUUCUUCCAAAUAACUUUCUCAGGGUGUUCUUUCUUUCUUUCUUUCUUUCUUUCUUUCUUUCUUUCUUUCUUUCUUUCUUUCUUUCUUUCUUUCUUUC